rnacentral:lncRNA from 10 species
CACACGUGUACAUAUACGUAUGUACUGUCUAAAUCCCUUACACACACAUAUGCAUGUGUACAUAUACGUAUGUACUGUCUAAAUCCCUUAAACACGCACACACACAUACGCACAUGUGUACAUAUACGUAUGUACUGUCUAAAUCCCUUAAACACGCACACACACACGCACAUGUGUACAUAUACGUAUGUACUGUCUAAAUCCCUUAAACACGCACACACACGUACACACAUGUGUACAUAUGCGUAUGUACUGUCUAAAUCCCUUAAACACGCACACACACAUACGCACGUGUACAUAUACGUAUGUACUGUCUAAAUCCCCUAAACGCGCACACACAUACGCACGUGUACAUAUACGUAUGUACUGUCUAAAUCCCCUAAACGCGCACACACAUACGCACGUGUACAUAUACGUAUGUACUGUCUAAAUCCCUUAAACAUGCACACACACAUACGCACGUGUACAUAUAUGUAUGUACUGUGUAAAUCCCCUAAACACGCACACACACAUACGCAUGUGUACAUAUACGUAUGUACUGUCUAAAUCCCUUAAACGCGCACACACAUAUGCACGUGUACAUAUACGUAUGUACUGUCUAAAUCCCUUAAACACGCGCACACACAUAUGCACGUGUACAUACACGUAUGUACUGUGUAAAUCCCUUAAACACGCACACACACAUACGCACGUGUACAUAUACGUAUGUACUGUCUAAAUCCCCUAAACACGCACACACACAUACGCACGUGUACAUAUACGUAUGUACUGUCUAAAUCCCUUACACACACAUACGCACGUGUACAUAUACGUAUGUACUGUCUAAAUCCCUUACACACACAUACGCACGUGUACAUAUACGUAUGUACUGUCUAAAUCCCUUAAACACACACACACACAUACGCACGUGUACAUAUAUGUAUGUACUGUCUAAAUCCCUUAAACUUCUCUUGACAUACCAAGAGCCAGGCCUGGAGGAGUUUUCACAAAGUCCUGGGUGGAAAACUGGGGAUGUGAUCAAGGAAGUGUCCUGCCCAGAAAGUCCCUGAUGGAGAAAGAUGGAGAUGGACGUCUGGAGUGAAAGAAGGUGGGACAAGGAGCUCACAAGCCGGGUCUUUUCUUUCCUGAUGCUAAGGACGGAAUCUAAAGGCAGAGCAUUCAGAGCAGGGCCUCGGAGCGGCUGCGGGUGCCUUGUGGGUGCCUGUCGGCCAAGCCACAGCCCCGGCUCAGACCUGCAGCCGCCUCUGAGUCAGCAUUCCUAAGUAAGUCAGGGGGUUCCAGUGGAGACCACGUGCAGUGGCUGAGGAGGCCGUCUGGGGUGUCGAGGCUUUGCUCCAGAGGGUCCCCAGCCAGAGGCAGUGGCAGGAGCACAGUGUGCUCAGCCCCCAAUGGUGCCCACCUGCCAGGAGCCACCAGAUUUCAGAGACCAGAUCCCGGCCUCCACGGCCAGCCCAGACCCCGGCCUCCACGGCCAGCCACAGACCAUCCCAGGACCCCCUCUCGCCCGCAGCAGGGAAGAAGGAGCUGCAAGAGGUGGAGUAUUCGCCCCUGGAAGCUGAGUCCGCCUGAAACUCAAAGAACCUGAAAUCCUCGUAGUAGCUUCUGUCUCCUCCAGCUGCAGCCAGUGUGUGAGGAGGAGUCAAGCACAGAAAAGCAAAGAAUACAUGAGGAAGCCGACCAUAAAAUUAUAAAAACUUGGAUUCUUCUUCCUCUCAAUGAAGGCUUAACACCUAUGUGACAAUAGGGAGUUAUGCUUAUAAUCGAGUUAUAAACAUGAAAAGCAGAUAGGUAGUCGCCUGUAUGUUAUAGAGAUGACUAUACAGAUAUGUAAGUGUAGAGAAGAAAUUUAAAAAUUACACUGAAAUAUUCGCGACGGUUGAAUUAUGAUGUUUGUAUUGUUCAAGGUGAUUUCAUCUUUUUUUCUAUUUUGUAUAGUUUUUAUAAUAUGAAAAUAACAUUUCUUUGAGUCUGCAUUUUCUCCUGAAAAUCAGUUUCAUAUACAUAAAGUUAAUUUUGCUUUCCUCCCAGAAGUUGUCUUGCUAUUUAGACUUAUGAUCAGCUAUUUCCUCCAUCUCAGACAGGGACAUUCACAGAAAAAUAUUAAGAAAUUUGACUGAUUACCUUGGUGUGCUGGACAAGUCAGAAAAACCCUUUGGCUAUAAUAAAAUACUUUGUUUUAUUCAGUUGUAGGUGAUAGUUGGUCUAGAAUUUUUUCUUUUUAAACAUAUUUUGAAUUUUACUGAAAACUCCUAGGAAUACACAGUUAAUGUUGAGUAGGGGAGCUACACAAGGAUGUAAAAUUUAACCAAAUCAUCUGAUUGUGAAUUCAAAAAUUAAAAACUUACCAU